GAGACCUUGUGUUUUUUCGAACUUCCUGCUCUGCUGCCUCCCUCACAGCCUUCCUCUCAGGUGGCACAGUAUAAAUUGUUGUGUAUCUUCGCGGCUUAGCAGAAGCCAACAUGAAGGCAGCCACAGUCUUGGUCCUGGUGGGUUUUGUCACCCUGGGAAUGGACAUGGUCUGUGCCCGGACUUAUUUUCCUUCCCAAGGUGAGCUGAGGGGAUACCAGUUGAGAGGCAAGAAGGCUGGGAGCCCAGUCUGGAGCCUGGAGGUAGUCUGGGAGGCAGGCACAUGCCCACUGCAUGAAUCAGACUUAUUUCCUUUGAUCUGUAGGAGAGAUUACCCUGCAUUUCCCAUCCUUAUGAGAGUGAGUAGAGUUCAACAGAAGCUGGGUGUAGAGAAUGGGGCAGGGGUCUCCCUAACUAGCAGAUGUACCCUAGAUGUGACUCCCAGGGGCAGUUGCUCUGAGGUGAACGCAGAUUUGUGCAGGGUAGGCAGGUGGCUGUCUUACAACAGAGGUUUUCCAGGAUGACAGUGCAGGUUCCUUUCCUGUUGAGUCUCUGCAGGCUUUAGAGCUCCAAGAACAUUCUCUCAAGGGCUAGACUCUGAGCAUAAGGACUUAAGAGUGACAGUGGUGCUGAUGAAUCUGAGGGGGUCCAGGAGCACCAAGGAAGGAAAGGAAGAAGCCGGAGUCCUGUGGUGAGGGCUUCAGACCUCCAGCAUAAGUUCUCCUCUCUGUCCUAGUGACCGCUCCAGGUUCCAAAAACACCAUUGUUCAUUUCAGAACUGCAAGACUAUGGAGAAUGCCCUGAAGUGCCUGAAGGAGUCUAUGGGAUUUGUGUUGAAAGGUGCACAGGAGAUGAUUCAUGUCCCAGGGGAAUGAAGUGCUGCAGCAAUGGCUGUGGUCAUACCUGCCAGGACGCUGUUUUCAAAGUGAGUAUAAACCAGUCAAGGGCUCCAUGCGGGCAGACCAGUUCCUGGUGGGCUUUUCUAGGGCAGACAGAUGCCGCCUUGUCCACUGCUCUCAAAAGUCUGCAUGACCCCAGGAGAGAGAAGUUGGAAGCAAAUGAUAGAAAGACAACCUGGUUGCAUUAUCUAUAGCCCUGUCCUAGAAGAGAAGCCCUAUUCAAUGACAGCCCCAAGGAGCUCAAGUGAGACAAGUAACCGUGACCUUAGAUUCACAAGGACAUGAACCAGGAUUUCUCACUCUCUUUCCUCUACCCCAACCGAAGUACCUUAACUCUUCCAGGAAAAUAGGUGAUCCUAGGAGGAAGAAGGGAAGAAAUGGGAACACCAGUGUAUUUGAGUACCUCCUCUGUCAGGCACGCAUGGGCUGGAGUUGAGAUAAAAAGGCCAACAUAAACCACGUUGGGGAACAAACCCGUAUCACAACCUGGUGCUUUGUUUAGAUUUCUACUAAGUUCUGUGGGAGCAAAGAGUGUGGGGGUGUGUGGGGCAGUCGUUAGAGAGUGGAGAACAUCGAAGCGAGAGCUUGAAGAUGCACAUAAUCUGCUAGACAUGGAAGGGCAGUCCAGCUGGUGGGAGAAAGGAGCUUUCCUGGAAGAUGGAAAAAUGAUGGUAAUGGGUAGAUGUCACCGUGGGGGUGGAGGUUGUGGGGAGGGACACUACAACAAGUCCUCGUCCAAAGAGCGGUGAGCAUGCCUACCACAGUGUCAGUGCUAAGCAGCCGGCAGUUUCUAAGCAGAGGAAAUGUCCUGAUCAAACUUGUGUUUCAGAAGAGUGGCUCUGGCAGCCAUGUUGUCACUGGUUCCCCAGCCAGAGGCCCUGCUGGGUUUCUAGUACACUGGAUUCAGUUGCCCCCCUGCAUCAGAAAUAAGAGGAAACAUAAAAAGAAAAAAAAAUGAAUGUAAUCACCAUUCAGCCAAAACUGGGAAGGCAGCUACUUUGUAUCCGUUUGUCUUACAGAAACACAACUUAUUGGAACAAAAGCCAGGGAGUUACCAGGCCUUACUAGCCUGAGAAUAUUAUUCUGGUUGUUUAACCUCUGCUGGUGCCUGUCCAGGAUUUGGGAGCAAUUCCUCAGUUUCCAUUCUUUGCAUGAGGAAGUCGGGAUGGACAUACAGGUUAUUAGAAAAUGAUGAAGAAAAAUAAUAAUGUGGGGCUUUUAAUUUUAAAGGAAUCCCAUUUAAUUUUAAAGGAUUACCAAUCUCAAAAGGUGAGUGGAGAUUGACAAGUGUACCUGGUGACCAGCCCAGAAGAUUUCUUGUGAAUCCAUGAAUCCCAGGCUCGGCUAUUCCCUAUCCUUGGAAGAUCUACAAUGGUGGGGUGACUGCUUUCUAAAGCUCUUGUGUCCCAAAUAAAUUUAAUCUGUGCAUGAGUCAGGCUGAGUCUUUCUUCUCACAGUUAGGCAUUCCCUCUACCCUCCAGAUUGGCACCAUCUUCGAACACUGCAGCAUGGCUCAUGAAAGCAAAGCCCUUGGGACACCUGUAGGUAAGAGACGAGGUCCCAGUGCCAGGUCCUUUCCCCCUGCAACAUCUGUAUCUCCAAACAAGACAAAGGGCACAACAAUAUUUUCUUGGGCAUUCUGUGAACAUAAGUCUGUUGGUACGUAAGGUAAGAUCGUCACAUCACUGUUUACAGCAGCUCAAUUCACAGUAGCUAAGCUAUGAAAUUAACCUAGGUGCCCUUCAAUAGAUGAGUGGUUAAAGAAAACGUGGUAUAUAUACACAAUGGAGUGUUACUCAGCUAUAAAAAAG
rnacentral:lncRNA from 1 species